CUGCUGACACCCACGAGGACUGAGCUGGCAAAGUGAAAACCUUUCUGUGCUCUGACGAGUUUCAAAGGCUGGGCUUGAGCUUCUGAAUGCCGCCCUGCGAGGUGAUUUUCACGGUUCCGGGUUUGCAGCAGGCGAAACCGGCUCUCCCAAGGUCACCGUGCAACAAAGGACUCAAGGUCUC
rnacentral:lncRNA from 1 species